GGAAGUAUGCCCGAGAACAGGGACUACCUUGAUAGAGUAGACACAGGACCGCCGAUCCUUGCUUCCU